rnacentral:rRNA from 1 species
CCGUAGGUGAACCUGCGGAAGGAUCAUUAUUGAAUGAACUUGGUGUGGUUGUUGCUGGCCCUUUCGGGGGCAUGUGCACACCCAUCAUCCUCAUCUCUCCACCUGUGCACCUCUUGUAGACUUGGAUUGACUUUCCGAGGCAACUCGGUCGGGAGGACUUGCUGGCAYUAGCUGGCUUUCCUUGCAUUUCCAAGUCUAUGUUUUUUCAUAUACCCCAUUGAAUGUAACAGAAUGUAACAUAUUGGGCCUUUGUGCCUAUAAAAAACUUAUACAACUUUCAGCAACGGAUCUCUUGGCUCUCGCAUCGAUGAAGAACGCAGCGAAAUGCGAUAAGUAAUGUGAAUUGCAGAAUUCAGUGAAUCAUCGAAUCUUUGAACGCACCUUGCGCUCCUUGGUAUUCCGAGGAGCAUGCCUGUUUGAGUGUCAUUAAAUUCUCAACUAUUAUCAGCWWWWGCUGAUGAUGGCUUGGAUAUGGGGGUUUAUUUUGCUGGCUUCUUCACAGAUUGUCAGCUCCCCUUAAAUGCAUUAGCCGGUGCCCCGCGUGGACUGUCUAUUGGUGUGAUAAUYAUCUACGCCGUGGACAUCUACAAUCAUAUGGGUUUGCRCUGCUUCCAACCGUCUGUUUACUCAGACAAUACAUGACAAUUUGACCUCAAAUCAGGUAGGACUACCCGCUGAACUUAA